AGUUGUUUAUCAAUUUUUAGCGUGUAGGUUGUUGGUGAAGGCUGUAGAAUCCAUGGCUCCGCAUGUAAUUGGCCAAAAUGACGUAGCAAGGACAAUGGUGGAAACUGUUAGGGUUAGGGUUCAACGGAGUCCCUCGUCAUCGUGUUCACCACCACAAUCAUCAAACCCUAUCAAACUCCGCGGCUCGCCGGUCCGGUUAAUGUUUUACCGGGACGGCUCGUGGAUCGAUUUCCCGAGCGAUGUGCAGGAGAGCAUUCGAUUGGGGUUCUCUGAGCGGAAGCCGAUGAUGGACAUAUCGAUAGGAGGGUCGAGGUACAUCUUUGACUUUCUGCGCAUGUUGCAGAUUGAUUUCGGGACCGGGAAUCAGCGAUCGAUUGCUUGGAUUGACAAAAAUAGUAACUGCAUUUUCCCGAGGAAGUUCGUCGGCGAAGAUAUGGGGGACGAGAACGGUGCGGAGGGGAGUUCAGGAAAUACGCCGAUUAAGAUUGAGAUUCGAAUUGACGGGAGUUCGUGUAAGAGAAAGGGGGAGGAAUUGGAAUCGAGUUCAAACGGGGUCCAGGAUGAGGGAAGUUCGUUGAAACGACAACGUUUAGCGACUGCCAAUUCAGAAACACCUAUAUGGCCGAAUGCGAAGAUUUUGAGCCCAGGAGACCGAGCUUACUUGGUGGUGAGCAAAUUUUUCCUGGUUGGGAUCCGGAGGUUUGAUGACGCUGCUUCUAUCAGCGCAAUUCACCAGUGUACGCUCUCGGGGCCGUUGGAGAAAGCUCGCUUCGAAGUUUUUCAGAAGCAGAUUGAGACUGUCAAGGCCGCUCGGGGCGCAUCGAAUACUGUGUAUGCCUGGUAUGGAGCUUCAGCUAAAGACGUAGCCGGGGUUUUAGCACAUGGGUUUUCAGUGUCAAACAAGGUUUCGGGCACUGAAACUAAUGGGGUUGGUAUAUACUUGUACCCCAUGGGUUUACCCCAUAUAAGUGCUCUGCAAUCGGAGACAGACGACAAUGGCCAGAAGCAUAUGAUAUUGUGCCGUGUUAUAUUGGGUAAUGUCGAAGAGGUCCAGGCGGGGUCCCAACAAUGCCAUCCUUCUAGUGAAGAUUUUGAUACAGGUGCAGAUGAUCCUAAGAAUCCGGAAAGGUAUGUGGUGUGGUUCGCCGAUAUGAACAGGAACAUUCUUCCAGAGUGUGUUGUGAGCUACAAAUCUUCUGAUAAUUUGACAGGUCAGGUGAGAGGUUCGGCAAAGUAUCCGUUUUGGAAAUUAUUUUCGAAGAUGGAAAAUUCGCUUCCCGAAGCAAAACUGCAGGAAGCGAAGAAUCUGUAUGGCGCAUUUCGGAAAGAAAUCUGGUCUUGAAGUUCAUGAGGCAGCUCAUGUAGACUUGUCUUCGGUAGGCGUACUGGCUUACCCCGUAAAAGGCCAGUUGAGAGGGUCAACAAAGUAUCCAUUCUCCAAAUGUUUUUCCGAAGAUGAAGAGUUUCCUACAAGCUACAGGUCAUUCUUCCCCUUGAAGUUUAUAUUUUUAUAGUUGUACCUAAAUCAAAUGAAGGAGAAUAUACACCCUAAGGAUGAAGGUUAUAUUUGAGGUUAAGCUAUGCCUAUGCCAUAUCGUGUAAUGGGUUGUCAUGAACCUCAUUCAUGGUUGAUUUGGUGACCAUCUUUCACAGAAAUUGUUGUUUUGUUAAGAGUAUGGCAAGGAAAAGGAACAAAAAGGAAUUUGCUCUUAUGUUGGGCUGCUGACAGGCAAAGAGCUGAUACCGGCAAGGUUAAGGAAACGGGGCUUUUAGCAUGGCAAGUAAGGAGGCAAGAACUCAGACCGACUCAAACAAUCUAUAACCCAAACCGGUGAGCUUAGGUUGAUUUGAUUUUAAAACUUUGAAAGGGAAGAGAUUGGCUCGACUUCGGGGUGAAAUUUAGGAGUACCGCAACUUUUUAGUACAAGAUCCUUAUAGACUUGACUUUUGCAGUAUUUCACGGCAAUUAAAUUUGAUUGUGGCACGUAAAUUAUCAUGUCAGUUUGUAAGAAGCUAGACCAACCAAAGUUGUGGAUUGAUUUGGUUUGAUAAAACAAUGAGAUUGGUUAAUCGGACCAACAUAUUGUAAGACCCAUUUCUCUCUCUAUGGUAUCUUCCUUG